rnacentral:pre_miRNA from 1 species
ACAACAUUUGGACCGUCGGUCUACCGAGCAAUAUCACCAGCUCGGUGUGGAAGAUCUUCCCUUUGUCCU